rnacentral:rRNA from 1 species
AUUGAACGCUGGCGGCAGGCUUAACACAUGCAAGUCGAACGAGUGGCGGACGGGUGUGUAAUGCUUGGGAAUCUAGCUUAUGGAGGGGGAUAGCUACGGGAAACUGUAGCUAAUCCCGCGUACACUAGGAUGAGCCCCAGUGGGAUUAGGUAGUUGGUGUGGUAAAGGCUCACCAAGCCGACGAUCUCUAGCUGGUCUGAGAGGAUGACCAGCGAAACGGGGACUUAGACACGGCCCAGCCUCCUACGGGAGGCAGCAGUGGGGAAUAUUGCACAAUGGGCGCAAGCCUGAUGCAGCGAUGCCGCGUGUAUGAAGAAGGCCUUAAGGUUGUAAAGUACUUUCAGCGGGGAGGCGUUACCCGCAGAAGAAGCACCGGCUAACUCCGUGCCAGCAGCCGCGGUAAUUC